rnacentral:rRNA from 1 species
ACUCAAAGGAAUUGACGGGGGCCCGCACAAGCAGCGGAGCAUGUGGUUUAAUUCGAAGCAACGCGAAGAACCUUACCAGGUCUUGACAUCCAGUAAAACUUGUAGAGAUAUGAGGUGCCUUCGGGCAUACUGAGACAGGUGGUGCAUGGUUGUCGUCAGCUCGUGUCGUGAGAUGUUGGGUUAAGUCCCGCAACGAGCGCAACCCUUGCCGAUAGUUACUAACGGGUGAAGCCGAGGACUCUAUUGGGACCGCCGGGGACAACUCGGAGGAAGGUGGGGACGACGUCAAAUCAUCAUGCCCCUUAUGACCUGGGCUACACACGUGCUACAAUGGCCGAGACAGAGAGGAGCGAAGGCGCGAGCCGGAGCGGAUCUCAAAAAAGCGGUCACAGUUCGGAUUGUGGGCUGCAACCCGCCCGCAUGAAGCAGGAGUUGCUAGUAAUCGCGAAUCAGCAUGUCGCGGUGAAUACGUUCCCGGGCCUUGUACACACCGCCCGU